UACCACUUAAAUUCUUUUACUUUACCCUAGAAAUUGUAGGAUAACUUACCCUUCUAUAUUUCGGUGUAUUUAAGUGAAAUCUGACAAAAAGUAGAAUCACAACAGUACUGAACUCCGAGGGAAUUCAAGACGAAAAGAACUUAAUCAAAUGGCAAAAUCAAAGCUCAAACACAUCAAACUAAUGGAAAUCAACUGUCAUGUUCCUGAUUUGGUACAGGCAUUUUCUAAUGAUGACAGUCAUCGAUUUUUAAUUGAAAAGCUGUCUGAAUACUGUGAAUAUUCACGAAUAACUUUUCAAAAAUGAUUUUAGAAAUUAAUAUGAUAAAAGGAAAUCUUUAAUGACCCACAUUUCAAUAUAUUUUUUGACGACAAACGAUAUUAUGUUCUUUUUUCUUUUUCAUUAAGUGUAUAACCACUCGGUCUGAAACGAUUUUUU
rnacentral:lncRNA from 1 species